rnacentral:rRNA from 1 species
CCUACGGGAGGCAGCAGUGAGGAAUAUUGGUCAAUGGACGAGCGUCUGAACCAGCCAAGUAGCGUGAAGGAUGACUGCCCUAUGGGUUGUAAACUUCUUUUAUAUGGGAAUAAAAUGUUCCACGUGUGGGCUUUUGUAUGUACCCUAUGAAUAAGGAUCGGCUAACUCCGUGCCAGCCGCCGCGGUAAUACGGAGGAUCCGAGCGUUGUUCGGAUUUUUUGGGUUUAAAGGGAGCGUAGGUGGGUUGUUAAGUCAGUUGUGAAAGUUUGUGGCUCAACCGUAAAAUUGCAGUUGAAACUGGCAGUCUUGAGUACAGUAGAGGUAGGCGGAAUAAGUGAUGUAGCGGUGAAAUGCUUAGAUAUCACGAAGAACUCCGAUUGCGAAGGCAGCUCACUGGACUGAAACUGACACUGAGGCUCGAAAGUGUGGGUAUCAAACAGGAUUAGAUACCCGGGUAGUC